CCAUGAGUAAAGCGGCGUACGGGUGAGUAACACGUGGGUAAUCUACCUUUUAGUGGGGAAUAACCCUGGGAAACCGGGGCUAAUACCGCAUAAUUCUGUAAAGAGAAAGCCCCUAUCGUAAAAGAUGGGGGCGCUGAAAGAGGAGCCCGCGGCCGAUUAGCUAGUUGGUGAGGUAAUGGCUCACCAAGGCGGUGAUCGGUAGCCGGCCUGAGAGGGCACACGGCCACACUGGCACUGAAACACGGGCCAG
rnacentral:rRNA from 1 species